rnacentral:rRNA from 1 species
UACGUAGGUGGCAAGCGUUGUCCGGAUUUACUGGGUGUAAAGGGCGUGUAGGCUGGAAUACAAGUCAGAUGUGAAAUUUUGUGGCUCAACCACAGACCUGCAUCUGAAACUGUAUUUCUUGAGUGCUGGAGAGGAAAGCGGAAUUCCUAGUGUAGCGGUGAAAUGCGUAGAUAUUAGGAGGAACACCAGUGGCGAAGGCGGCUUUCUGGACAGUAACUGACGCUGAGACGCGAAAGCGUGGGGAGCAAACAGG